CGGCCAUGAAGAGCAAUCUUUCUCUAGAUCCGCUCUAAUCCCUUUCACCGGAAUAACUUGUUUGGGGAACACUUCAACCUCUGUUUCUUCCCUUACAUUUAUAUUUGUAUUACUUUAUACCGUAUGGACACAUUUUAAUCCCAGAAUAUAUAAGGUCUCCAGUCUUCUAUGGAUGAGGAGAGAGAGGAUGGGGGUCCUACCUCUAAGACCGCUCUGUCUGGGGAACAUGGCCGCCAGAGCAAAGCUAAGAGGUAAGAAGAGGAUCUCUGUCUGUGACUGUUGUCAGUAGUUAAUAAUGAUCCCCACUAUAGGGGUUUUCGAGGGGACUUCUGUUUCCGGUAUUGGUUGCGAGGGUGGGGGCCACAACCCCCCUUCCACUUCCUGUGUGUGUGUGUGUGUGUGUGUGUGUGUGUGUGUGGGAGGCAGGUGUGGCUAGUCAUGAGGGUGUGUGUGUGUGUGUGUGUGUCUGCCCUGUGAUAUUGAAUCAUGGGUAAUGUAGUGUAACAACACACUGAAGAACAGGGAACUUAAAUGGGGUUCACAAUGGCUUGCACUUUGUCCUGGUUAUCGUUCCUGGGUUAGAUUAAACUGAUGUAUCCAGCACUUGUCUGGCCGUAGUGUGUCGGGGUCGUGGCUUUAAAGUCCACUAGCAGAUAGCCAUACGGCGUACUAGUAGCAUCGGUAAAGGGCUCUAGAAAAUACAUUGUCCUACACAGGAACAUCUGCCUGGCUAUUAACAAAAUCUGAUAUUUGUUGCGUGGGUUCUUAAACAAAACCAUGUGAUUAGUGUUUAAAAUUAUUGUUCUGCUGGUUUUACCCUGCAUAUAUAAAUUCUCUACCAGAUACAUACAUCCAUAUACCCAUGGAUGUCCUCUUCUUUCACUUGGGGAGAGGAGGGCCGAGCUCUCUGAGUGGCCAACGACGUGCGUCGCGACGUAGGUCGCAUUGGUCGCGACGUAGGUCGCAUUGGUCGAGACGUAGGUCGCAUUGGUCGCCACGUAGGUGGCAUUGGUCGUUCGUCUGGCUGCCGUUUUCUCGUCUGGCUGCCGUUUUGGUCGCUGGCUGGCUCGGUCACUCAAAGUCUAUAGGCGGUCCUUAAUCAGUUAUUUGCAUGUUAUCAACAGAUUUUUUGCGACAGUUGAAGUACCAGAAAGCCAUGCUCUCUGGCGAAAGCUACCUACAGCUCUUUAUUGCAAAUAUUAUUUUUAUAUUUUUAUAUUGAAGUAGGCCUACAGUUUAAAAUGAAGAAAUCGUUGGUCUAUCAAUAUCAAUAAAAUGUAUUAGUUGUAAUUUGUGGCGUAUUCAAAUAAUGUAUUUUAUAUCUUAUAUAUAGCCUAUAUAUUUGUUUUGUUAAACGUCAUUAAGCCUAAUAAGAUAUAUUAUGCACAAAGCACUUCGUUAUAGAGUGAUAUAUUAGUUGUAAUUUGGGGCGUAUUCAAAUAAUGUAUUUUAGAAAUUAUACAUAGCCUAUUUGUUUUGUUAAAUGUCAUUAAGCCUAAUAAUGUAUGUUAUGUACAAAGUUCUUCGUUAUAGAGUGAUAUAGUUAAAUAUAAGUGCAACGACUAUCAGUCAAUUCCAUGGUGGUACAAGCGGUAGUGACGCUAGGUUAGUGACCAACACCUUGGCUGUUCGACACUCUCCAUGGUCAGGUAUAUAUUUGCUAUUUUACUCAAACUCAUUGACGUAAUUGGACCCUUUCAUUUUAACAUUUUUGUAUGAUUUAGUACGAUGGUAUGACAAUCAUACGACGUAAUGACGGGCAGCGACGCCUGGCUGGUAUCGGCUGGCUGGCUGCGACAACAGGCCAGCCGCUGGCUGCUGGCCGCUGGCUCUGGCAGGCUGACCGACUAGGGGGCCGUGUCCACCAAAAGCCUUUUUAAAAGGCGGAGCGCCUGUCUGCAAUGCAUUCUCUAUGGCAGGACGCGCAUGCAGCGCGCCUUUUAACCUGUUCUGCCCCGGCAGUAUUUUGUUUUUUU
ensembl:lncRNA